rnacentral:lncRNA from 1 species
GAAAAAUCCAGUCUUAGAAGAGACACAAAUCUUAUUCAUAGUAUCCUCUGAGUGGUCACCUUGCAGAACUCCCGAGAAGGGGAGCUUAUGGCCUUCUGGAAGUUGCUGGGUAGAACUGACUCUCAGAAAGGACUCAAUAUUUUAGCAGCUGAUGUAACCUCAAACACUCACUUCCAAUAUCCCACUUAAUGAUGUAUUUUUGCAAGUUUUUGUCUGACACAGACCUUACCUCCCAACUCUCCCCUCCUCUUGGUGUGCCCACUCCCCACCCGCAACUAGCUAUCACAGUACCUCUUUCUGAUCCUCCCCUAAGUGUCACAUCUGCUCUACCACUCAUUUUUCUCAUUCCCAAAUCUGCCAGUAAGGAUAGGAGGUGAAGCGGGGUUUUGUGACUCUAAUGUUCUCAAUGAAUGUGCCCUGUCACUGGGGUUCUGCAUUACCCCUUACAGGUGUGACAUCUAAUCUUGAACAAUGCAUUUUGUCUGUUAACUGAGAUGGUAAUGUCUGUGAGAUAAAGCAUAGUGUUUAGAAAAACAUGCUAGGUGGUCUGAAGUAGGGUACAAACUGCUGCAAGAAGUAAGAUAUAAGGCCAGAAGUCAAGAACAGAGCAAAUGGGAGGUGACAUGCUUACUGGGACAUGCAAGAAAUUUACUUCCUAAGAAUGUAACAGCAUAGUCAAAGUUAUAAAGAGGCCUACUAAAAACAGGAGCAAAGGAGGGAGACCAAGAGAAUAGU